rnacentral:rRNA from 1 species
GAAUAUUGGUCAAUGGAUGGAAGUCUGAACCAGCCAUGCCGCGUGCAGGAAGAAGGCCUUCUGGGUUGUAAACUGCUUUUGCCAGGGGAUAAAAAGACCAUGCGUGGUUAAUUGAAGGUACCUGGUGAAUAAGCCACGGCUAACUACGUGACAGACGCCGCGGUAAUACGUAGGUGGCAAGCGUUGUCCGGAUUUAUUGGGUUUAAAGGGUGCGUAGGCGGCCCUGUAAGUCAGUGGUGAAAUAUCUCAGCUUAACUGAGAGGGUGCCAUUGAUACUGCGGGGCUUGAGUACAGAUGAGGUAGGCGGAAUUGACGGUGUAGCGGUGAAAUGCAUAGAUAUCGUCAAGAACACCGAUAGCGAAGGCAGCUUACUAAGCUGUAACUGACGCUGAGGCACGAAAGUGUGGGGAUCAAACAGG